rnacentral:tRNA from 1 species
GCUCCUGUAGUUCAAUGGAUAGAAUAGGUGAUUCCGGUUCUCCAGAUAAGGGUUCGAUUCCCUUCGGGAGUA